rnacentral:rRNA from 1 species
CCUACGGGAGGCAGCAGUGGGGAAUAUUGCACAAUGGGGGAAACCCUGAUGCAGCGACGCCGCGUGAAGGAAGAAGUAUUUCGGUAUGUAAACUUCUAUCAGCAGGGAAGAAAAUGACGGUACCUGACUAAGAAGCCCCGGCUAACUACGUGCCAGCCGCCGCGGUAAUACGUAGGGGGCAAGCGUUAUCCGGAUUUACUGGGUGUAAAGGGAGCGUAGGCGGUUUAGCAAGUCAGAAGUGAAAGCCCGGGGCUCAACCCUGUACAUGCUUUUGGAACUGUGGUGCUAGAGUGCAGGAGAGGUAAGUGGAAUUCCUAGUGUAGCGGUGAAAUGCGUAGAUAUUAGGAGGAACACCAGUGGCGAAGGCGGCUUACUGGACUGUAACUGACGUUGAGGCUCGAAAGCGUGGGGAGCAAACAGGAUUAGAUACCCCAGUAGUC